UGAGUAACCUGCCCUUAACUCUGGGAUAAGCCUGGGAAACUGGGUCUAAUACCGGAUAUGACUCCUCAUCGCAUGGUGGGGGGUGGAAAGCUUUUUGUGGUUUUGGAUGGACUCGCGGCCUAUCAGCUUGUUGGUGAGAUAAUGGCUCACCAAGGCGACGACGGGUAGCCGGCCUGAGAGGGUGACCGGCCACACUGGGACUGAGACACGGCCCAGACCUCCGUACGGGGAGGCAG
rnacentral:rRNA from 1 species